AAUUUUCUUUAAUGGCAUUGCCCUUUGUUUAAGGAACUUGGAAACAAAUGCAAAACAAACAAACAAAUUGCUAUUUGUGGAAACCAAAACUGGCUGAGCCCAUAGCUCCAUGAAGUGCAGGGCAUGGCAAUUCCAGACAGAGCUCAGCAGGCUGCACCCUCCUGAGGCCUGCACCUUCUGGAAACCAGCUACUGCUGUGCAGGGAGAAUUGCAGUCUAUGUGUCAGGAUGGGUGUCAUUCAGUCUUUAUAGUUCACGAGAAACAACCAGGGGGAUUCUGAUGGCCUCAUAUUGUCUUAAGCACAACUCUGCCUCAAAUUGCCCUACUCCCAUACACUCCCCUUCUAAGGGGGAUCUGCUGUCUCCUAUCUACCAUGUCCCAAUCUCUAAUAGAUACAACCCCACUUUCUGGAGAGAUCUUCUAUAAAAUGACCACAGUUACUUUUUGUCUAAUAACAAACCUAAGUCAAAAAGCCUAGAUAAGUACAGUGGUGAGUGGUAGAUAAGUGAUCCAAUUGUGUUGUCAUUGUACAAAGCAGAGAUGUUGUGGGGGCAGGACUCAACCACCUCAGUAGUCCUGGGCAGCUGAGACAGCAUUUGGCCACCUCAGACUUCGCUGCUGGAAGAUCCCCAUUGCUUUAUUUCCAUCAAAAGGACUCUCCAGUUUUGUCUUUGGAUAAGCCUGUCUAUUUUCUCCAGAAGUUCUCAAAAUAAGUUUUUUCCAUUGUUCCUACCCCAGUUUCAAUUUUCCAGCAAAAGUUUGCAGUCUAAACACCUGAGAACCUGUCCCUGUCCUCUAUGCUAUCAAAUGUGAGGAUGCUUUGCUGAGCCACAGCUUCUAGAACAUUCCUUUCCUCAUUUUUCAUGAGCAGUUAGCACAUGAAGUUAGAUCCUGGUUGAGAAAGGAGGGCCAGGAAGGCUCAUAAAAUUGCUGCUGGGUAUGGCCAGACUCUGCUGUCAGUCAAAUCGGUAAGGUUUGCUAAAUUAUGCCUUUCUAUUAGAUUUAGUGCUCAUGUGAAACCAGACUAACAGAACAGAAAUGAUCUGGCUACUGCUUGGGCCAUCACUGCUUCCUGUUCUUCAAGUCUCACCCUGAAAUCUACUUAGCCUGAACUAUAGGAGAAACCUCACCUGACUGACACAAAACCCUUUUCUUGUCUCUAAGAACAGUUGCUGUUUGUAUAGCACUGGGGUCCUGCUAAAGCUAGGCUGGGCUGCAAGGUUGUUCUUCCUAACUGUAUUGACCUAUUGACAGAUUGUUUACUCAGUUCUGGAAAAUACUUCUUGGAACUUCCUCUCCUAAGAGUAUGAACCUAGGACUCUGCUACUGAAAACCCUCCAGCACUCUGUCUGAUUCUACGACAGUAAGAGUUAUUCUGUGUUGAUCAUUGAAUUUCUACUACCUUUCUGUGUUGGGCUGAAUGGCUGUUCAGUUUGGCUCAACGAUAUGAAACUCGACUCCUGGAGGAAAGAGUGAAUCCCCUCGGCUGUGCUUUGGUCUUCCCAGCUGACUUGAGUCAUCCCACUCAGUGACCUCAUCUCCUUUCAUAUCUGAAUGUUCCAGCUAUGCCCACAGCACCAGGAACAUCUGAAGAAGAAAAUUUCCACCGUUCAAAUCAAAAUAGACUCCAUCAUCCUAGACACUCACCAAUAUUUGAAAGAAGAAAAUACGGCACAUGUACACAGUGGAGUGCUGCUCAGAUAUAAAGAGAAUAAAAUUAUGCCAUUACUAAAUGAAACUGGGACUGUUUGGGAGCGUAUGAGGACCAGAAUGGAGACAGGGAACUGUGAGCAGACCAGAAGCAGGGAG
rnacentral:lncRNA from 1 species